CACCUUUAACCUCUUCCUCUUCCUCUUCUCUACACGAGCCCACAUCAGUUCCCACCUCUUCCUCUUCUAUACAUUACACGAACCCACAUAAACCCUACACCUCCCAUCCUUUUAGCAAGUCCGAUCUUUUGUUCACCGGUAGGAGCACGCCGCUCGUUUGCUCGCCGCCAGUUCCCGUCGGCGGUCUCGUAUCCAAGAAUCUGCAGGGGCUCGUUCCUAAUAUUGCAUUUGAAGCACAAGAAUGACCAGCACCCGGGCUGUUUCCAGGUUUUCUGGGUUUGAACGCAUCAGCAACUGCUUCUGAAUUAGAAUUCGACCCUUGUUUGGUGAACGAAUGGCCUGCUCUGGGACUGCUACCUAGGGUGAACGAAUGGCCUGCUUUGGUGCAGCUGUUAAAGGGUUUUGCAAUGCAUUAAUUGGAGUUGUUACAGGUUAAGACAAGUUUUUUACCAGUUCAAGCCUGUUUGUUCCUGGUUUAAAGGAAUCAACUAGCAUUUCUUCUUGAAGAAGAAAGGAACCUACUUGCAACUCGUCUCGACGAAGAAAGGAAAGCAAGGGAAGAACUUCAAAAACAACUUCAAGAAUUUAUGAAGAUUGGCGUCCUCCCUCUAAUUAGAUGUAGUUUUUGAUAUCUUUUUUGAAUUAUGUUAAAUUGUAUUAGCUUACAGUUUAAACAUAUUGGAACUUGCGUUGUGACGCAUGAUUUUUGAAUUUAUGUCAUUGUAACUUCAGUGAGUUUUGUAAAACAGGUUUUUGGUAUUACAAAUUAUUUCUGGAAUU